rnacentral:rRNA from 1 species
CCAUUUAAAGCGGCACGCGAGCUGGGUUUAGAACGUCGUGAGACAGUUCGGUCCCUAUCUGCCGUGGGCGCUGGAGAACUGAGGGGGGCUGCUCCUAGUACGAGAGGACCGGAGUGGACGCAUCACUGGUGUUCGGGUUGUCAUGCCAAUGGCACUGCCCGGUAGCUAAAUGCGGAAGAGAUAAGUGCUGAAAGCAUCUAAGCACGAAACUUGCCCCGAGAUGAGUUCUCCCUGAGACUUUAGGUCUCCUGAAGGAACGUUGAAGACGACGACGUUGAUAGGCCGGGUGUGUAAGCGCAGCGAUGCGUUGAGCUAACCGGUACUAAUGA